rnacentral:rRNA from 1 species
GAUGAACGCUGGCGGCGUGCUUAACACAUGCAAGUCGAGAGAAAUAGUUAAGGAGAUUCUUCGGAUGAUUCUUAACUGACUGAGCGGCGGACGGGUGAGUAACGCGUGGGUGACCUGCCCCAUACCGGGGGAUAACAGCUGGAAACGGCUGCUAAUACCGCAUAAGCGCACAGAGCUGCAUGGCUCGGUGUGAAAAACUCCGGUGGUAUGGGAUGGGCCCGCGUCUGAUUAGGCAGUUGGCGGGGUAACGGCCCACCAAACCGACGAUCAGUAGCCGGCCUGAGAGGGCGACCGGCCACAUUGGGACUGAGACACGGCCCAAACUCCUACGGGAGGCAGCAGUGGGGAAUAUUGCACAAUGGGGGAAACCCUGAUGCAGCGACGCCGCGUGAGCGAAGAAGUAUUUCGGUAUGUAAAGCUCUAUCAGCAGGGAAGAUAAUGACGGUAC